CACUCUAGCGAGACUGCCGGUAAGUAAACCGGAGGGAAGGUGGGGAUGACGUCAAAUCAUCAUGCCCCUUAUGACCUGGGCUACACACGUGCUACAAUGGUUGGUACAACGAGUUGCGAGUCGGUGACGGCGAGCUAAUCUCUUAAAGCCAAUCCCAGUUCGGAUUGUAGGCUGCAACUCGCCUACAUGAAGUCGGAAUCGCUAGUAAUCGCGGAUCAGCACGCCGCGGUGAAUACGUUCCCGGGCCUU
rnacentral:rRNA from 1 species